UAACCACUCAAGCCUCGGCUUGGUCCUUGGGGUUCGCGGUCUCGCGGCUCUUAAAAUCAGUGGCAGUGCCGUCUGGCUCUAAGCGUAGUAAUUCUCUCGCUAUAGAGUUCCGGUGGUUACUUGCCAGAACACCCCCUCUUAC
rnacentral:misc_RNA from 1 species